UACGGAGGGUGCAAGCGUUGCUCGGAAUUAUUGGGCGUAAAGGGUAGGUAGGUGGUCUCAUUUGUCUGGGGUGAAAGCCUUGAGCUUAACUCAAGAAGUGCCCCAGAAACGGUGAGACUGGAGUCCUGGAGAGGGUCGUGGAAUUCCCGGUGUAGCGGUGAAAUGCGUAGAUAUCGAGAGGAACACCUGCGGCGAAGGCGGGUUGCUGGGCUGACACUGACGCUGAGGCGCGAAAGCCAGGGGAGCGAACGGG
rnacentral:rRNA from 1 species